ACUUUCAGCAGUGGAUGUCUAGGCUCGCACAUCGAUGAAGAACGCUGCGAACUGCGAUACGUAAUGCGAAUUGCAGGAUUCAGUGAGUCAUCGAAAUUUUGAACGC
rnacentral:rRNA from 1 species